UACGUAGGUGGCAAGCGUUGUCCGGAUUUACUGGGCGUAAAGAGCGCGCAGGCGGUCGUUCAAGUCGCGUGUGAAAGCCCCCGGCUCAACUGGGGAGGGUCACGCGAUACUGAUCGACUCGAAGGCAGGAGAGGGUAGUGGAAUUCCCGGUGUAGUGGUGAAAUGCGUAGAUAUCGGGAGGAACACCAGUGGCGAAGGCGGCGCUCUGGGCCGGUACUGACGCUGAGGAGCGAAAGCGUGGGUAGCAAACAGG
rnacentral:rRNA from 1 species